ensembl:lncRNA
CCAAGUUUUUCAUGAACAAUGGGUACAAGGGUAUGUCCUUAAACUGCUUAAGUCAUAAGAGGUCAUAAGAGGCAGCUCCAGAAUUACCCGUAGUGAGCAGUUACCAUGCAUAGCUGGUUUCUCUUUGCCAGAAUUAUCAGUUAUUAUUAAAAGUGAGGGGAUAGAGUUGCAUUGUAUUAUUAGGAAGUUAUAGUUAUCUGAGCAAUUCAAGGGAGGAGCCCUGGGGCUGGAGGUGGGAGGGGAAAGAAAGCAGAAUAGAGAGUAUUCGGGUCAGGAUCAAGAAGAAAAAACUGGAAAUGCUAUUGCCCUGGGAGUACACUGCCACUUAAACUGAAGGAACAAACUGGCAUGAAGACAAGCUACAGUAAAAAUGAAAAAUUUAAAUGAUUCCGAACUGCAGUGGUUCUUCAUUUCUGCGAAGAGUGUGGAGUUCAUAAACACUCGAUUUGCCUUGGUGAUCAUUAAACUCUUCAAAAAAGUGGAGAAAAAAAUUUGGGGAGGCUUGAGAAGAAGACAUAAUUCUAUCCAUGAAUUCAUAAUGGAAGAGGAAAGGAAAGAUGCUUGUAUCAGGUAAGAAGAAAAAUACUAAUUACUCAGCUCAAGAAGGGACAAAGUCAAAUAUUUUUUCCAAACCAAAGAAAACAGAAUUUUCUAGUAAUAUGAGAUGUUGGCAGCAGCUUUCCAGACAAAUAUCUACCCAGAAGAACAGAUCCUACUUGGUUCCCUGAAGCUUAUACUACAGGACUGUUAGAAAUCCCUGAAAGAAUGGCCUUUGUGACUUUAUGCUACAUAAUUUAUGAAUGUGUAUGUGUAUGUGUGCUAAUACGUGUAUGCAUUUUACAUAUGAAGAGAAAAUUAUUUUCUCCUCUGACAAGUAACAAAUAAUAUAUUCAUUGGCUACCUACAACUUCUCAGAGAAAUGACACCUGGUAAGUCUCCAAUAAGAAAUGUUCCUGGACUUCCUCUCACAGAGCUCUCUCUUUUGUAUUUUUAAGGAGAAAUAUAUUCCUUGGCAGACAGAGGGGAAGUAUAUGAAUUGUUUUCUUAUUAAUAAUGCAAAAUUAAUUGUGUAUUCAUUCAAAUAGGACAUUAGUGCAGAUAGACCCAAGUAUUACUGUCAUUCAAAAAUAAGGCUUUGGAGAAUGAGAGCUGCUCUCUGUAGAUCUUCUUUCUCUAUUAAGAAUGCAUGUGGUUUGAUAAAAGAAGAGCUAUAGUGUUUCCAAGGUACUCUGAUGCCCUUUUUAUUCACUUCCACAAUGGCAUAUAAAUAUUGUUGAGAUGAAAAAAUACUAUGCAGUAGUAGGUUCCAAUAAUUGUUUUUUCUUUUCUGUUGCUGUUAAACUUUAGAGCCAUUUCUAAUGUAUUUGAGUGCUAAGAAUGCUACCCAUCUCUGAUAUAUUUUUUACCAGAAGCAUGAUGAGGAUUACCGGCAUUUAUGACUGUUUCUGUGACUCAAGCAGAGCACCUUGACACUGAUUUUUUUGUUUUGCCCUCUAAAGAGCAGGAUGACAAAAUGGUUCAUAAAUUUUAGUGGGUCUGGGGCAGCACAACAUCUGCCUAGUUUAUCUUGGAUG